rnacentral:sRNA from 2 species
GAGUCCGACGCGCCCGCUCGCGCCAGCCGGAGCCGGGGACCCACCGAAACCCUGGGGUGAAUCGGCCCAACCCCCUUCCGGGGAGGCGGCCGUAGGGCAACCCUUCCGAUGAUCUACCCGCCCGAACCCGACAGCUAACUCGGUAGGCGGAGCACUGGAAGGAGUC